rnacentral:rRNA from 1 species
UACGUAGGGCGCAAGCGUUGUCCGGAAUUUAUUGGGGCGUAAAGAGCUCGUAGGCGGCUUGUCACGUCGAUUGUGAAAGCCCCGGGGGCUUAACUCCGGGUCUGCAGUCGAUACGGGCUAGCUAGAGUGUGGUAGGGGAGAUCGGAAUUCCUGGUGUAGCGGUGAAAUGCGCAGAUAUCAGGAGGAACACCGGUGGCGAAGGCGGAUCUCUGGGCCAUUACUGACGCUGAGGAGCGAAAGCGUGGGGAGCGAACAGG